rnacentral:rRNA from 1 species
UACGUAGGAGCCAAGCGUUAUCCGAAUUUACUGGGCGUAAAGCGCGUGUAGGCGGCUUGGUAAGUUGGCUGUGAAAUCUCCCGGCUCAACUGGGAGGGGGCGGUCAAGACUGUGAGGCUGGAGGCCGGGAGAGGGAGGUGGAAUUCCGGGUGUAGUGGUGAAAUGCGUAGAUAUCGGGAGGAACACCAGUGGCGAAAGCGGCCUCCUGGUCCUGACCUGACGCUGAGACGCGAAAGCCAGGGGAGCGAAC